CAAUGGAGAAGGAGCAUUCUAGCCUCUUCCACCUUGAUCGAUGCCCUGGAUUUUCACAAAUGUGGAACCAUUUAAGAACGUUCGUUACAGUUCUAAACAUGGUUGUUUGACCAUGAGUUUUGAUUCCCCUCCUCCAUCAUGUCAUUCAACCUCAUUUUUACGUGAUUUAUCACUAAAUCUUGUUCGUGGCAAUGCUGCUCAUAUCCCGGAGUUGUAUACUAGGAAUCUCAUUUCAACCAUUGGAAGUCGUGACCACUACUCAUCGGUAAAUCUUACUUCAAAACUGGGAGAAAACAGUUCAAUUAUGAAUGAUACUAGAGACUGGGGACUUGAUUUAUCUCUUCACAUGUAAUCCUAUUUAUUAUUAAUAAUAUUUGCGUUUUUCGAUUUAAUUCGUAAUACAAUGUAUUUCUUUUCCUUUGUGAUAUUAUUUAUGUUAAAAAAGAGAUUUUCUUGUUUCAUUUAAAGU